UACGGAGGGAGCUAGCGUUGUUCGGAAUUACUGGGCGUAAAGCGCACGUAGGCGGCGAUUUAAGUCAGAGGUGAAAGCCCGGGGCUCAACCCCGGAAUAGCCUUUGAGACUGGAUUGCUUGAAUCUUGGAGAGGUGAGUGGAAUUCCGAGUGUAGAGGUGAAAUGCGUAGAGAUGUGGAGGAAUACCGAUGGCGAAGGCAGCCCCCUGGGAUAACACUGACGCUCAUGUACGGAAGCGUGGGUAGCAAACAGG
rnacentral:rRNA from 1 species